UUAAAAUCUCAAUAAAAUCAAAUAUAUUUUAUAAAAUAGACAUGAUUUAAGUAAUUCAUUAUGUGAAGGUUGUCUAUUGUUUAGUAUGAUCGGUUGUAUUGCAUGAUAUUUAUACAAUUCACUAUCUAAAAUCAGCUUUUUAUUCUGAAUUGUCUUAACACUGAGAGAGUGAAAAUUUAUCUAAAGAAUUGUAUAUUUUUUCGUGCUUAGUAUUUUCCUUCAAUAUUUUAGUUCUCUUGUGCAUUUGUAAUUUAAUUGAAGGUUGUAGAUUAAAAUUGUAAAAAGGUGUGAGAAAAGUUGUUGGGAUGAACUUGUGUAAAAGUUCAAAUUGUUAAAAAGUGGAAAUUGUUAGGGGAGUUUUUCACUAUAGAGCAUUUAAUAUUGUGAGACUUCUUCUUCUAGAACAACACCUUUGUGAGAGACACAUCACAUAUUCACCCAAAAUCUUAAGAGUUUGGAUGAAUAUGUGAUGUCUCUCUCACUUUUGUGGUGCUCUUGACUCAAUGUUGAUGCUACUCCUCAUGACCUAACACAUAAUAUCAUGAGUCUUUGGUUCGAGAAAAAGACCGACUUACUUGUUUUCAAAAUCAACAACGUCACAAAAAUGGCGAGUAAGUAAUAUUUCGUUAAAGAGUGUCAACGGUGCCACAAGGGUGGUGAGUAAGAAAUGUUUUAUGCGGUACAAGAGUUUGUGGAAGUAAGAAGAACUUCCACUUGAGGGGGAGCAUUGUAGACUCAUACUUGAGGGGAAGUGUUGAGAAUAUAGCAAGUGUGAGUAGUGUGGAUAAUAGUCCCACAUUGGUUGAAAAUAUGGAGACUUGGACAUUUAUAAGUGAGCGAAUCCACUCACCUAUCACCUGAAAGUUUUGGGUGAAUAUGUGGUGUCUCUCUCACUUGUGUGUUGCUCUUACCCCAACGUCGAUGCUCUUCUUCAUUUGUUGGGUCAUGAAGAGGAGCAUCAACGUUAUGCUAAGAGCAACACACAAAUGAGAAAGACAACAUAUAUUCACCCAAAAAGUUAAGGUGAUAUGUGAGUGAGUUCUCUCACUUAUAAAUGCUCAAGUCUCCAUAUUUUCAACCAAUAUAAGACUAUUAUCCACACUAAUCACACUUGCUAUAUUCUCAACAAAAAUAUUGUAUGGUUUAAGACCUAACUAGUAUAAUCUCUGGUAUGAUCUCUCUAACUCUAUCUCUUAUAUUUUUCUCUUUUACUUUUUCUGUUGCCUAAUUCUUUGUUUCUAUCCUUUUCUUAAAAUCAAUAAACCUAAAAUCACCACUACAAAAUAUACCUUUGACAAUACCAUAUUACUACGGUCGUGUAAGCAACCAUAUUAAUAAUUCAUCUUAAUAUGCAUGAAUUUAUUUUUAUUUUAUUAAAAGACUUUUCAUCACAGUUCAUAAUAACAACUGCCGUGAUAGAUAAAAGGUUAUCUGCUUCGAAUCACAUCACCAGUAAUUUUAUUUUUAUUUUUUCGUUACAAAAAGGAUUUGUCCAUAUACUCUUAUAAAUAUAUUAAAAUUAAAAUACAUAUCACCACAGUUAAUACCAGAAACUAUUGUGAAUCGUACUUACAUUUUUUCACACGUGGUGAUAAGUGUUACAUAUAUAUAAGUGAAGUUACCAAGCUUCAACAAAGAAUAGUCGUCUCUCUCUAAACACAAAACCCUAACAUCUCUCUCUUCCAUAUCUAGCAAACUCGUAUAUAUUCUUCUUCCACAAAACCCGUCUUUCUUCUUAUUCAUACUAAAAGGUAAUCAAGUUCAACAUUGUUUCUUCUUUAUCUUUCUUCUUAUUAUUAUUAUUAUAAAAGGUAAUCAUAUUAUUCAUACGCUUUCUUCUGUUCUUUUUUAUUUAGGCUUUAAUAUUCAUCACUUUUGAAGAAAUUUCAAGGUACGCCAUUCCUCAACCUACUCCAUCCAUUUGGUGUUACAAAGGGUUUUCAUUUGGCAUAGUAUUUUUUUAAUUUUGAUUUCACAUGAUUUUCGUGUUUUUUGAAUUUUCUCUACUUUGAUCUCUGUUUUUGAAAUGGUCAAUUUGUGUUUAACAGAUCAAAACACAAUAUAAAUGGGAAAGCAAUUACCAUAUUUGUUCCAAGUAUGAUUGUGUUCUUCUUAAUUUUUUUUAAACUUUCCAAAUUUUGUUUAUGUUUCUGUUUAUGUUUACAUGCUAUUUAUAGGAUUAAAAUGCCAUCCUAGUUUAUGUUUCUAAAUAUGGUUAACAUGUUGUUCGUGGGAUUAUAAUGUCGUGUUAGUUUAUGUUGUUAAAUUUGGUUAAAAUGUUGUUUGUAGGAUUAAAAUAUCAUGCUAAUACAUUUUGACUAGUAGGAAAGGUGAAUGAAAAAAAUUAACUCAAGAAAUGGCAUACUAUGAGUGUGGUUCAUAAAUUAUUUGUGUUGCUAUGAAGAAAAAAUAUAAGGAGGGAAGUGAAAGUUAAAAACUUGUGUGGAAGAUCCAGAAUGACAUUUAUUCAAAUUUAACACAAGUUUGUAGCUCUCACUUCAACUUCAUCCUCCUUUCACUGUAGAUGCCAUUAUGAGACUAGUAGAUCAUUUAUUCAUCUUCAUUCUCCACAAAUCUUUUCAAUAAAAGAUACGUUUUAUUUUAUUUUAUGAGUUGAUAUGCUAUUGUUGUUCAAAAUAUUUACCUUGUUGAGGUUUGUUCAUGUUUUUGUAUGUCCUAGAACAAACUUGUUUUGUGCAGCUAGAUGUGAUUUAGUCAAACUCUAAUUCUAAUUGAAUUUAUUAUAUCAUAUGUAGAUUCUUGUUUCACUAAGCCCUCAUUGAACAUGCAUUCAUUUAAAUUGAUUUAGAAAAUGAUAAUCUUGAAAUUAAGUUAUAUUUGAAAAUCAACUUAGAUCAAUCAAUAUUUAUCUAAUUACAUGCAUCUUAUAAUUCAUCUCACACGCUUUAACAUAUAUAAUUUGGUUAAAUGCUCCAAGUUCUUCAAAGAAAGGAUUCAUUUCUUCUAGUUUAUUUUGAAAAACAUCAAUUUGUUGAGAAAUCCAGACUCAUCAUCAUUGUUGUCGUCAUCAUUAUUCAUUCGAUGACGAUGAUUAUUAUAAUGACAGCGAUGACGACGAGUCUGAAAUAGUCAACAAAUUGAUACUUUUCAAAAUAAAAUAGAAGAGAAUGAAUCGUUUUUUUGAAGAACUUGGACCAUUGAACCAAAGUUUUAUAUGUUAAAGAGCGAGAGAUGAAUUACAAGAUGCAUAUGCCAUUCGAAAAACAGUGGACCAUCUAAGUUGUUUUUCAAGAAUAAUUUAAUUUUUCAGAUUAUUAUCUUCUAAAUUAAUUUGAUGGUUGUAUAUGUUUAUUGAGGGGUAAGGAAAAACAAGCAAUCCACAUAUCUUAUAAUAAACUCAUAUACAUACCACCACUUGUGGAAUAUAUAAUUGUGAUGAAAUGUUAAUUUUAUUCACGCUUUAAUUAAAUUGUUGUUGUUGUUGGGUUUCGAACCAAUGAAAUAUAUAUAUAUAUAAUAUAAUAUUAUAUAUAUAUAUAUAUAUAUAUAUUAUAUAUAUUAUAUAUAUAUAUAUAUAUAUAUAUUAUAUAUAUUAAUAUGAAUAUAUCACAAAUGUUAUUUACUAAAAUAGUUGUGAUAGGUAGCACACUACCUACUUUAUCACUAUGGUCAGAUGUCUAUGGUGGAAAACAACAUAUUUACAACUACUUCCUACCUAACCACGAUUGAUUAAUCGUCAUGGUAUCCCCUUUUCAACCAGAGUGAAAAGGGUCUUUAUAUAUAUGUGAAUCAAUCUUAAAAAAAUUAAAAUUAAAUAUUACAAUUUAUCCUCCCCUUCAUCUUUUGUGUUUGAAAUCCAUUGGUCAAUAAUAAUUUUAAACUUAAGGUGUUUGCCAAUGCGACCAUAACAAUGUUAUACCUGAUUUUUAUCAUAUAUCCUACUUUUGGUAUACACAUCCACUGCUCCAUAGGUUGAAAGCCCAUACCAAUGCUCUCCAAAUAAGCCCUCACCAAUUGGACGCAUCGCUUAAAUUAUCAGCCAUAUAGAUCAAUAAGGGAACUAAUAUCAUUAUUGAAUUGGAGUCAUGGAAGACUUAAUUCGAGGGUCUUCGAGAGGUUUGCUUCUAUGGUCCCAUGGAAGGCUUGCUUUCAUGGUCCUUGAAAAGAUGAAUUACAUGACCCAUAAUAAAUUAUAUUAUCAUAAUAAAAUGCAUCAACAUUCUUAAAUUAUGAAGGACCUUGACAAACAUCUAAGAUUUUUUUCUUACCCUUAUUCUACACUUCUCUGAUUCUCUUCACUUUUUCUUUGGUUAUGGCUUUAUUAUGGAUGGACACAUAUAAGUUGUAUAUGUAUAUGAAAUUUCACGAAACUUCCGAAGAUCGUUCAACUACUGAGUAUUUUCUUUCGAAGUAUUUCCUUAGAGUCAUUUGAUAGGAGUUUGAUGAAGUUAAUGAUUCUUCGAUUUUUGCUUCUUCAUCUUUGAGCAAUUGAAUUAGUAUGUUCAAUUUCUUUAUGAUUUAAUUUCUUCUUUGAUUUUUCCUAAAAUUCAUUAAGGCUCUCAACUUUCGAUGUAAGGAUUGGAUUAAACUUCCAAUUCUUAACUCUUAGAUAUUGGUUAGUGACGAAUGUUCCAAUAUGAUUUCUAACACUUAUAAACUUUGAAAAACAUUGAUGAAUAGUAUCUUCAUCUUCUUCGCCUCG
rnacentral:lncRNA from 1 species